rnacentral:rRNA from 1 species
GACGAACGCUGGCGGCGUGCCUAAUACAUGCAAGUCGAACGCUUCUUUCCUCCCGAGUGCUUGCACUCAAUUGGAAAGAGGAGUGGCGGACGGGUGAGUAACACGUGGGUAACCUACCCAUCAGAGGGGGAUAACACUUGGAAACAGGUGCUAAUACCGCAUAACAGUUUAUGCCGCAUGGCAUAAGAGUGAAAGGCGCUUUCGGGUGUCGCUGAUGGAUGGACCCGCGGUGCAUUAGCUAGUUGGUGAGGUAACGGCUCACCAAGGCCACGAUGCAUAGCCGACCUGAGAGGGUGAUCGGCCACACUGGGACUGAGACACGGCCCAGACUCCUACGGGAGGCAGCAGUAGGGAAUCUUCGGCAAUGGACGAAAGUCUGACCGAGCAACGCCGCGUGAGUGAAGAAGGUUUUCGGAUCGUAAAACUCUGUUGUUAGGGAAGAACAAGGACGUUAG